CACAAUUAAUAAAAUAAUCUGAAGGACGAGGUAGACAUACUAUCAAUCCAGAAAAAAUAUUAUUGUUAGCAAUAUGGAUGAUGGCAACUCCUAAUUCAUAUAGAUGUAUUGCUGAUCGAUUUGAUGUAGGAAAAGCAACAGCUUGGAGAUGUGUUCAGAAAGUUGUGAAUGCAUUAUAUUCACAUCUUAACACAUUCAUUACAUGACCAGAUAGUAGAAGAAGUGAAGAAAUUUGGACACAUAUUAAAAACAAAUAUAAAUUUCCAAAAGUAAUAGGAGCAAUAGACGGAACUCACAUAAAAAUUGCAUCCUGAUGCUUAUAUAAAUAGAAAGGGUUACCAUUCCAUACAGUUACAGAUAAUAUGCGAUCAUGAAUUAAAAAUCACUCAUGUUUAUGCAGGACAGGUUAGAUCUGUACACGAUAUGAGAGUAUUUAGAUUAUCUGAUUUUGAAAAUAUAUGUACUGCACAAAAUUUUCCCGAAAAUAGCCAUUUAUUAGAUGAUACCGCAUAUAGUAUCCAAAAAUAUAUAAUGGUUCCAUUUAAAAAUAAUGGACAUUUGACAAACGCACAAGUUCAGUAUAAUACCUGUUUAUCUCAAGCGAGGAUGAUGGUUGAGAGAACAAUAGGCUUGUUAAAAGGAAGAUUUCGAAGUCUUUUAGAUAUAUUACCUAUGAGAAGAACUGAUUUAAUACCAAAAUAUAUUUAUGCUUGUUGCAUUUUACAUAACAUAUGUCUAAUCCGUAAUGAUUAUUUUGAUAUCUCAAUUAUUGUGCAACAAAAUCAACCUAUACCUAUAAAAUCAACA